rnacentral:rRNA from 1 species
UACGAAGGGGGCUAGCGUUGCUCGGAAUCACUGGGCGUAAAGCGCUCGUAGGCGGAUUGCUAAGUCAGGGGUGAAAUCCUGGAGCUCAACUCCAGAACUGCCUUUGAUACUGGCGAUCUUGAGUCCGGGAGAGGUGAGUGGAACUCCGAGUGUAGAGGUGAAAUUCGUAGAUAUUCGGAAGAACACCAGUGGCGAAGGCGGCUCACUGGCCCGGUACUGACGCUGAGGUGCGAAAGCGUGGGGAGCAAACAGG